rnacentral:rRNA from 1 species
UUUAAAGUCUAAUCUGCCCAAUGAGGGGUUAAAUGGCCGCGGUAUUUUGACCGUGCAAAGGUAGCAUAAUAAUUAGUUUUUUAAUUGAAAGCUGGAAUGAAUGAUUGAACGAGAAAAUAGCUGUCUCUAUUUAAUUUUUAUAGAAUUUUAUUUUUAAGUAAGAAAGCUUAAAUAAUUUUAAAAGACGAGAAGACCCUAUAGAGUUUUAUAAUUUGAUUUAUUUUGGUUUUAUAGAAUAUUUUUAUUAAUUUUAAUUAAAUUAUUUUGUUGGGGUGAUGGAAAAAUUUAGUUAACUUUUUUUUGAGAAUUUCAUUUAUUUAUGAAUUAUUGAUCCAUUAUUAGUGAUUAUAAGAUAAAAUUACCUUAGGGAUAACAGCGUAAUUUUUUUUUAGAGUUCUUAUCGAAAGGAGAGAUUGCGACCUCGAUGUUGGAUUAAAAUAAAUAUUUGGUGUAGGGGCUAAAUAAUUAGGUCUGUUCGACCUUUAAAAUUUUACA